CCUUUUCUAGCAUCUCCACCUCGCCGCCACCAACCCCCUCUGGUCCAACGAUCAGCUUCCCGGUCCUCAAGAGUCCCGAGGUUUCUCCUUCCUCUAGUGUAGUUCUGGAAAAAUGUUUAUUUCUGUACUACAGCCCAGACAGGUUUACUUUUUCUUCUUUUUGGCUCCCUUGAGCUUCGCCUCGAUCAGCUGUUGGGCCUGUUUCUUUAUCUCCGCCCGCGAAGGGACGUAACUAUGGUCCACAUCCGCAAACUGGAAGGUUUCUGAACAGGCAAGAAAAGGAGUGGCUGCCACCCUCUUUCCAGAAGCCUCCCACCUCUACCUGUUGGCGUUUGCUGCCAUAGGCCAUCUCCUGCCGGGAGCUCAUUUCAGACAUGUAUCAAUGACUGGAGACCCCUGCCCUAAGUCACCUAAGGCCAGGUGCCAGACAACUAGGAUUUGCCAAGAUUAUCCACACUAGCUGUCCUUAUCCUUUCACCCCACCUUGCCUCUGUAGCAGAAAUUCUUCUAAAAGUUCGGUCUGGGCUCCCUUCUGGCCCAUCCCAUGAUAUACGUCCCUUUUGUCUCAGAAAAAGAAACCUCUGUAACGUCUAUCGAUUAAAACCUUUCCCUUCAGCGCCCAGUCA
rnacentral:lncRNA from 1 species